rnacentral:rRNA from 1 species
ACGGGGGCAGCAGUGAGGAAUAUUGGUCAAUGGACGGAAGUCUGAACCAGCCAAGUCGCGUGAAGGAUGAAGGUUCUAUGGAUUGUAAACUUCUUUUGUCUGAGGGUAAAGUGCAGUACGUGUACUGUUUUGCAAGUAUCAGACGAAUAAGCAUCGGCUAACUCCGUGCCAGCAGCCGCGGUAAUACGGAGGAUGCGAGCGUUAUCCGGAUUUAUUGGGUUUAAAGGGUGCGUAGGCGGAAUGUUAAGUCAGUGGUAAAAGCGUGUGGCUCAACCAUACCAAGCCGUUGAUACUGGCGUUCUUGAGUGUAAACGAGGUAGGCGGAAUAUGACGUGUAGCGGUGAAAUGCUUAGAUAUGUCAUAGAACCCCGAUUGCGAAGGCAGCUUACCAGCAUACAACUGACGCUGAGGCACGAAAGCGUGGGUAUCAAACAGGAUUAGAUACCCUGGUA